GAAUGAUGUUACACAUAUACUAAAAUUGGAACGAUACAGAGAUUAGCAUGGCCCCUGUGCAAGGAUGACAUACAAAUUCAUGAAGCGUUCCAUAUUUUU
rnacentral:snRNA from 1 species